rnacentral:lncRNA from 1 species
UAAAGUAGUCUUGUUACCAAAGGGUUCUUGGCAUAUAUGUUUUAAGAUUCCUAUGUAUCAAGACUUUCUCUCUCCUCCAUCAUAACAAGUCAUAAUGUGUGUUUUUGUCAUAUUAAUACAAAACAACAGAACGGUUGUGCCUUCCCCCCGCAUUUUAGUAUAAGUGGUCGUUCUUUAAUUUUGGCUUUGUUUUUUAAUAACAGUUCUCAGCUUCAGUCUGGUGAGUCGGACAGUGAUGAUGUCAGUACUGUCUCCAUGUGUGAGUGUAUCUGUGCAUGUG